rnacentral:misc_RNA from 1 species
GAUGAAGAACGUAGCGAAAUGCGAUACGUAAUGUGAAUUGCAGAAUUCAGUGAAUCAUCGAGUCUUUGAACGCGCAUUGCGUCCCCUGGUAUUCCGGGGGGCAUGCCUGUCCGAGCGUCAUUGCUGCCCUCAAGCACGGCUUGUGUGUUGGGCCUCCGUCCUCCUCCCGGGGGACGGGCCCGAAAGGCAGCGGCGGCACCGCGUCCGGUCCUCGAGCGUAUGGGGCUUCGUCACCCGCUUUUGUAGGCCCGGCCGGCGCUUGCCGACACAUCAAUCUUUUUUCCAGGUUGACCUCGGAUCAGGCAGGGAUACCCGCUGAACUUAAGCAUAUCAAUAAGCGGAGGA